rnacentral:rRNA from 1 species
UACGUAGGGCGCGAGCGUUGUCCGGAUUUAUUGGGCGUAAAGAGCUCGUAGGCGGCUCGGUAAGUCAGGUGUGAAAACUCUAGGCUCAACCUAGAGACGCCACCUGAUACUGCCGUGGCUAGAGUCCGGUAGGGGAGCAUGGAAUUCCUGGUGUAGCGGUGAAAUGCGCAGAUAUCAGGAGGAACACCAGUGGCGAAGGCGGUGCUCUGGGCCGGAACUGACGCUGAGGAGCGAAGGCGUGGGGAGCAAACGGG